UACGUAUGGUGCAAGCGUUAUCCGGAUUUACUGGGUGUAAAGGGAGCGUAGACGGAGUGGCAAGUCUGAUGUGAAAACCCGGGGCUCAACCGCGGGACUGCAUUGGAAACUGUCAAUCUAGAGUACCGGAGAGGUAAGCGGAAUUCCUAGUGUAGCGGUGAAAUGCGUAGAUAUUAGGAGGAACACCAGUGGCGAAGGCGGCUUACUGGACGGUAACUGACGUUGAGGCUCGAAAGCGUGGGGAGCAAACAGG
rnacentral:rRNA from 1 species